GCCGCAGCCGCUGGGCGCGGAGGAUCCCGGCGCGGGGGCAGCCCCUGAAGGGGCAUUGGCCCAGGCGGAUGGUGCCCGACAACAGCCGCUGGGACCACAACCGACACCGGCCGAGAGGCCACGGACCAGAUACUGGAGACCCGGCGGGCACUCGUUGAUCUGGAUCAUCAGAGGGUGAAGCUCGAAAGGCUGAACAGGCGUGCCAUCUGGCGGGGCCGGGGGAGGCUCGCUCCCUGCGUGCCGGGCGAUGAGCCCUGCGGCUCCCUUGUCUUUGCAUGUUUUCCCUCGCCCCAAUAAAAGCCGUGAGCUGA